GGACGGUUAGCUCAGUUGGCUAGAGCGUCACAUUGACAUUGUGAAGGUCACAGGUUCAAGUCCUGUACCGUCCACAA
rnacentral:tRNA from 2 species